rnacentral:tRNA from 1 species
GCAGCAUUAGUCUAAUGGUAAGACGGGACGUUGCCAACGUCUAGAUAAGAGUUCGAUCCUCUUAUGCUGCACCA